AUCAGGUUUGCCUGUAACCCAAGUGGGGGUUAAUAGAGUGGGUUGGACAUUGGCUCGCUCCAGUUCGGUUGGGUCUGGUUUGCAAAAUCCCCUUGCCCAUUCCAAGUUGAGAGUUGGUUCGUGUGGCUUGAGCGAAGGCUUGGGUUACAUGCACCCUAGACUAAGGGGCACUUCGUUAGGCUGGCUUCACAGAGCUGCGACAACCCUUGGCUCCUGCUAGUGUUAAUUAACAGGCUUGGGCUAAGCAGGCUCAAUUAACCAACUGGUCUGACUCAAAUGAACACCCAUUGUU
rnacentral:SRP_RNA from 2 species